GUGGAGACACACCCAAAGCCAAGGCCACGGUGCGAGGGGAGAUUGUUGGGUGGGGGCCAGCUGAGCAGGACACAGGCUCGAUUCUCGUCUGGGAGCGUGGAUCCUGCCUCGACAAGAGGGAAGAGGUGGUCUCAUCUGUUUGGCUGCCCCCUGUCUGUUUACAUCAUCUGGUUGUUGGACCCCUAGAAGUCCCCACCUCUUCACAGGACUCCAUCACACACACACUGAGGCUCGACCACAAUACAGACCCUGAUCCCAGCCGGGCCACACUGAAGUUGUUCAGAUAUGAAGGAUACUGAGGAUAAUCGAGACGGUGCAGAGGAUGCAGCAGAUCGCCCUGACAGGCCCAGCAUAGCAUCGAUCCUUCGCUGGCUGAGCCCGAUAA